CCUAAGUGUGAGAUCAUGCUUCUGCAGGAAGACUUGCCAGACCAUCUUUGGGAUGGGUAUCGCUGUGAUGGAAGGGACAGGAAGACAGUGAUCAAAAGGUUGGCAAGAUGGGAAGCAACGAGCUUAUUUCCAAGCAGGGAAAUCAACAGUGCCACAUCAAACUAAGAAGGAGGAAAUCCAGCCAGCUAAGCAGGUCACACGGUUCCCACACACAGCAGAUCUCUUCUCUGGCUGGAGCCCAGGCUACUAGAAAGAGUGUCUCCUGAAACAACCAGGUGUGGGGAGAGCCCCGAAAUGACUAGACAUACAUGGCUCACCUGUUGAACUAACCCCAUUGAAAUAGAUGCUGGAUCAUUAUCAGGGAGAGGAGCUGCCUAGGAAAAUGGCACUCUCCAGGGAGGACAUAAGCUACUUUUGUAGUUUCAUGCAAAAGAAGAUGUGUGAAUAACAAGUAGUAAGAAGGACAAUAACAAUGGCUGGAGAGACGAACUAAGCUGAAUGUCACUGGAAUUUGGCAAGUCCUCCAAGCUUUAGGGCUGGUGCGAUGCUGUGUCUUAUUGCAUCACUUAAUCAUCCAAUAAAUUGUUAAAGAAAUAUUUAUCGAGGGCCAAGUAUGUCCAAGGCUGUGGGGAUAAUGGAAAGCUGCUCUCAUGGAACCUACGUUCUAGGAUAUGGGAAGAUAGACAAUAAUGAAAUAUAUAAAUACAUGAUUUGUUAAAUAGUGAUAAGUUCUAUGAAGCAAAAAGAAGCUGGUUAAGGUGAAUAAAAAAGCUGCAGGGGACACAGAUUUGUAUAAGAAGGUUAGAUAAGUCCCCUCUAAUAAAGUGACAUUUGAACAAAGGCCUAAAAGAAGUGAGCGAGCGAGCCAGACAACCAGGAGAGGUCACUCCAGGGAGAGACAACAGCCUUUGUAAAAGCCCUGAUGCUGAAAGUGCUUGGUGUGUUUAGGGAACACUAAGGAAACAGUGUGGCUACAGAGAAAGGAGGGAGGGGAGCAAUGGGUGAUAGGGACAGAGACGCUGUGGUGGCGGGCAGAUAAUAUAGGAUUCAAACCCUUAGGACGCUGUAAGGACUUUUACCUUAUACUCUAGAGGAAAUGAGAAGCCACUAGAAAACUUGGCUGCUGUACAGAAAAGAAACAAGAGUGAAAACAGAAGGAGAAAAAUUCCAGUUAGGAGGCCAGUGCAAUAAUCCAAGAGAGAAAUAGACCAGGAUGGUAGCAGUGCAGGUAGUGAGGAGUGUUGGAUGUUGUGUGUGCAAGAAAGACAGUUGUGAAGGGCGAGGCCAAGAUGCUUUAGGCCUACGAGACUGGAAAAAUGGAGGUACCAUUAACUGAGAUGGGGAGGAGCAGGUUGGGAGAUGUUUUAGAUAUUAAAUAAGCAUCACAUACCAUCACCUUCCUUUGCUAAGACCCCUUAGUCUGUGCCAGAGCUCUCUUACUUAAUAGGAUGAGCCAUACACUGUCUGGCCUCGACCUCUGCUCAGAUUGUUUUCAUCUCUUGAAAUGUUGUCUCCUAUUGCAUUCCUUUAACGUCUUGGCUUAGACAUAGGGUAUCUCAUUGGCCAAGUUCCCCACAUCAUGGAGAUAGUGUAAAUAUACAGGGGUAGGGAGGUUGUGUCUUUCUUAACAGGAUGUGAGAAUUUGAUUGACAUUCAUCUUCUCCACUGCUGCGCAGUCCCUUGGGAGCAGUGACUGUGUCUGUCUCCUUCUGCAGUAUUCCUAGGACCAAGCACAGUGCCUGACUUGCAGUUGGCACUCAGUAACUAGCAAAUGGGUGAAGGAAUGAAAGCGUGAAGUGAUUCCCACCAACCACUCCCUGUGGUAGGAACUGGGCCAACUGAAACUCUGCUUCCACAGCCUUUUGCACCAGGUCAGAAGCCGAUGAACUGCACCACAGGAAUGACCCGUGUAGAUGCGCUAGAGUUGGUGCCUUCUCGUUCCCUUUGGCUCAGGUCAGACCUUCACGUCAAUGCAAGGUUAUCAAAUGCUGAUGUUAAUUUUACUAUUACAAAAUUUAGGAGAAUUCAAAGAAAAUGUCUUUAUGAAAUAAAAUAUUUUAGAUUUAUUUCCUCAAUUUUAGAUGGCACUAUGGCUGCCUAAUCUCAAGUUUUCCAUACAUGUCAAUUUGAAAAUUUAUUCUAGGGUUCUUCUUUGGUCUCACCCAACCCACCAGAACAUCCUAGCUGUACAGUUUGCACCCCUGAUGUCACAUCGUGAGAUUCUCGUCCUCAUGCUGGUUUUAUCCUCAGUCAGAGCAGCUUGCAGCCUGUGCUUUACAGCAGCAAGAUCCUACAACCCACUCCACAUGGCACAAGCUGAACUUCAUGCUCAAAAUCCCACCACUAAGAGGCAUUUCUCUGCAUUGACUUUCCCUUUCAGAGCCCCUUCCAUAAGAUGGCUUAGUGAAAGAAGCCAUUCUUUUCUAUUAAUAUUUUAUCAGAGUGGAAUGAUCUCUAUGCGACUCCCUACACCUGGGAGCGGAUGGGUCAUAUAAGGAAGGGCAUUUAAGAUAGAGAUUUGGAGUGGGAUCCUGAAGAGGCAGUAAGAGAGCAACAAAGAGGGACCUCACCACGUCCCAGUGGCAGCUCAGCUGCCGUAAGAUCCAGGUAUAGGCAGCAAAAAGUGUGAGUGCUGGUUUUUUUAAAAACCUCCAUCCUGCUGCACAGAGGUGAGGGCGUAGGAGGAAAGCUGUAUCUGUGGUAGACACAUUGGCCAACCAUGGCCCAAACUUUAUCCGAGAAAAAAUGGUUCUGUAGUCAAAUAAGUUGUGGAUUUUCUGCUUAUCGUAUCUCUAUCUUGGAUAUUUACAAUAAGCAUUAGCAGGUUAGAUGCUGGGAGAGUCUUAGAUUUUAGAAAUCUGUUUGACCUUGUUUAGUAUAGCAUUUUUACAAACCUAUUUUCUCUUGCUAAACAUCUUUGGGAACACGGCAUCUGUGGAACAGAACUUAUAAGAGACAGAGCUCAUUUGCUUUACCUGGAAGUUAAUGGUAUGAGAGAAGGGAGGUCGCCGGAUAUACUGAAGAGCACAGUCUUGACAGGGUUCAGAGACCCAGGUUCAAAUCCUCCACUAACCUACUUACUGGCUUUGUGGCCUCGGUGAGUUAUUUAACCUCUCUGUGCCUCUGUAAAUUGAAGAUCUAAUUUGUUUAUUGUUCUAAUGCAUGUCAUAUAUCUAG